AUGCUCCGCCUUCGCCAAAGCCUUCUCUCCCAGAUCCUCUUGUCUCCCUCCACCUGUCCCAUCUCCCGCCUCCGCCGCCUCAUUUCCGCUGCCGUGCCCACCGUCUCUCCGAACCCUAGCUUCGCCGUGGAGGACUACCUCAUCUCCAUAUGCGGCCUCACCCGACCCCAGGCCCUCAAGGCCUCCGCCAAGCUCUCCCACCUCAACUCCCCUUCCAACCCCGACGCCGUCCUCGCCUUCCUCCCUGGCCUCGGCCUUUUCGGCGCCGACGUCGCCGCCCUCGUUGCCAAGGACCCGCAGCUUCUCUGCACCAGAGUGGAAACAACCUUGGCCCCUGCCGUCAUCGAGCUCACCGGCGUCGGCCUCUCGCGUUUUGAGAUAGCACCCCUUGUCUCGCUUACCAGUCAGUACUUCCGCCGUAGAUCCGUCGCCUCGAGGCUGCUCUACUUCCUGUCCUUAUUUGGCUCCCACGAGAACCUUCUUCGGGUACUCAAGUACCCGAGUCUCCUCGGAUGCGACCUCGACAAGGUUGUCAAGCCCAAUGUCUCCUUCCUGCGGGAGUCUGGGCUAGGUGAUUGCGACAUUACCAAGCUGUGCAUACGUGUGCCAUGCAUGCUCAGCAAUAACCCGGAGCGUGUCCGGGCAAUAGUGGCGUGCGCAGAAGGAAUCGGUGUGCCCCGUCGAUCUGGGAUGCUCAUGAAAGCGCUACAAGUUGUUGCUAUCCUCAGCCAGGAGAAAAUCACCGCCGAAGUUGAGCACUUGAAGAAAACAUUCAGGUGGUCAGAUGACGAGGUGGGCAUUGCUGUUUCUAAGGCACCAACUGUGCUGAUGAAGAGUAAGGAAUCGCUGCACCACAGGUCCGAGUUCCUCAUCUCCAAGGUGGGGCUGGAACCGGCAUACAUUGCUUGUCGUCCGGCAAUACUCACAUACAGCUUGGAGGGCCGGCUCAAACCCCGGUACUACGUUGUCAAAUUUCUCAAGGAAAAUGGAUUGCUAGAUCACAACCGGGACUACUAUGCUGCAGUCAUGAUCAGCGAGAAGGCAUUCGUCGACAAGUUCGUACGCCCUCAUAAGCAUGCUGCACCGCACCUCGCUGAUGACUAUGCAAAAGCUUGCAGAGGGGAGGUUCCAGCUAGAGCCUAG
rnacentral:rRNA from 1 species